AAGAAAUUAGUUAAAUGUAAUUAUAACAUUAAUUUGUCAAAUUAAAAUCAUAUUUUUUAAAUAUAUUUCUUA
rnacentral:tRNA from 1 species